AUCGCUUCUCGGCCUUUUGGCUAAGAUCAAGUGUAGUAUCUGUUCUUACAGAGAAGCAAAAUGGCGACUGCGUCAGCCAGCUAUGGGGAGGAGACUGACAGAGGGAGCGGUACAAAGAAUACGCUACGUUUUGAUCUGAUCGAUAAAGACACCACCUUCC